UACGGAGGGUGCGAGCGUUGUCCGGAAUCACUGGGCGUAAAGGGCGCGUAGGUGGCGGUCCAAGUCAACGGUGAAAGCUCGGGGCUCAACCCCGAGUCGCCGUCGAUACUGGGUUGCUUGAGCACUGUAGAGGCAGAUGGAAUUCCGGGUGUAGCGGUGGAAUGCGCAGAUAUCAGGAGGAACACCGGUGGCGAAGGCGGGUCUCUGGGCCGAUACUGACGCUGAGGAGCGAAAGCGUGGGGAGCGAACAGG
rnacentral:rRNA from 1 species